rnacentral:rRNA from 1 species
CCUACGGGAGGCAGCAGUGGGGAAUUUUGGACAAUGGGCGCAAGCCUGAUCCAGCAAUGCCGCGUGCAGGAUGAAGGCCUUCGGGUUGUAAACUGCUUUUGUACGGAACGAAACGGUCUGCUUUAAUACAGUGGGCUAAUGACGGUACCGUAAGAAUAAGCACCGGCUAACUACGUGCCAGCAGCCGCGGUAAUACGUAGGGUGCGAGCGUUAAUCGGAAUUACUGGGCGUAAAGCGUGCGCAGGCGGUUAUAUAAGACAGAUGUGAAAUCCCCGGGCUCAACCUGGGACCUGCAUUUGUGACUGUAUAGCUAGAGUACGGUAGAGGGGGAUGGAAUUCCGCGUGUAGCAGUGAAAUGCGUAGAUAUGCGGAGGAACACCGAUGGCGAAGGCAAUCCCCUGGACCUGUACUGACGCUCAUGCACGAAAGCGUGGGGAGCAAACAGGAUUAGAUACCCCGGUAGUCCACGCCCUAAACGAUGUCAACUGGUUGUUGGGUCUUCACUGACUCAGUAACGAAGCUAACGCGUGAAGUUGACCGCCUGGGGAGUACGGCCGCAAGGUUGAAACUCAAAUGAAUUGACGG